rnacentral:rRNA from 1 species
UACGGAGGGUGCAAGCGUUGUCCGGAAUCACUGGGCGUAAAGGGCGCGUAGGCGGCCUGGUAAGUAGGGGGUGAAAUCCUGCGGCUUAACCGCAGGGCUGCCUUCUAAACUGUCAGGCUUGAGCACGGUAGAGGCAGAUGGAAUUCCCGGUGUAGCGGUGGAAUGCGCAGAUAUCAGGAGGAACACCGGUGGCGAAGGCGGAUCUCUGGGCCAUAACUGACGCUGAGGAGCGAAAGCAUGGGGAGCGAACAGG